rnacentral:rRNA from 1 species
CGCGGCCUAUCAGCUUGUUGGUGAGGUAAUGGCUCACCAAGGCUUCGACGGGUAGCCGGCCUGAGAGGGCGACCGGCCACACUGGGACUGAGAUACGGCCCAGACUCCUACGGGAGGCGGCAGUGGGGAAUAUUGCACAAUGGGCGCAAGCCUGAUGCAGCAACGCCGCGUGCGGGAUGACGGCCUUCGGGUUGUAAACCGCUUUCAGUAGGGACGAAGCUAACGUGACGGUACCCACAGAAGAAGGACCGGCUAACUACGUGCCAGCAGCCGCGGUGAUACGUAGGGUCCGAGCGUUGUCCGGAAUUAUUGGGCGUAAAGGGCUUGUAGGCGGUCCGUCGCGUCAGGAGUGAAAACUCGGGGCUUAACCCCGAGCCUGCUUUUGAUACGGGCGGACUAGAGGGAUGCAGGGGAGAACGGAAUUCCUGGUGGAGCGGUGGAAUGCGCAGAUAUCAGGAGGAACACCGGUGGCGAAGGCGGUUCUCUGGGCAUCACCUGACGCUGAGAAGCGAAAGCGUGGGGAGCAAACAGGCUUAGAUACCCUGGUAGUCCACGCCGUAAACGGUGGGCACUAGGUGUGGGGGACAUUCCACGUUCUCCGUGCCGAAGCUAACGCAUUAAGUGCCCCGCCUGGGGAGUACGG